UUUAAUAAGGCCGGAGUGUGGAAACCUCCAAGGACAGGCUUGUGAAGAGACCUCCUAAACUGCCUGAUUUUGGUCCCGAGGGCUCGCGGGUAGGCACAGAGGACUCCGCUAUGCGAGCCAGACCUGCCGAUGUUGUGGCGCAGGAACCUGAGUGUAACGUCCCGAUUAAUCUGGAGCUAAACGUAGCAGAAACAUAACAAAGACACUGCCCAAUAAAUCUGCUGCAGACCUUUUACAUCAGCAUGUGUAUGCAUUGGUACGUCAGUGUUUGUGUUAGCAGAAAGCUACAACCAUUUGCAGCUUUGGUACUGCAAAGUUUAGUCCUUGAAGUGCAAUUAGAUAUAUUGUGUAUAUUCAUAUAAAAGUGUGUGAUUGUAAAUAAAUGCAUUAAAAGUAGCUCAUGUGUUUUAUCAAUACAUGGCAUGAGUGAAAAGAGUGUUUCACUAAAUGCGUAAAAACGUAUGUGAUUAAACAGAAUCUAUUCAAACACAACAAUGAACAAUCAGAAGCAAACAGUCUACAUCACUGUCCCUUGUUGUUGUGUUUGCUAA